AUUGAACGCUGGCGGCAGGCCUAACACAUGCAAGUCGAGCGAGCGGCGGACGGGUGAGUAAUGUAUGGGGACUGCCCGAUAGAGGGGGAUAACUACUGGAAACGGUGGAUAAUACCGCAUAAUAUCGGUUAACCCAUAUGGGAUUAGCUAGUAGGUGGGGUAAAGGCUCACCUAGGCGACGAUCCCUAGCUGGUCUGAGAGGAUGAUCAGCCUCACUGUGACGUGACCAGGGCCCACACUCCGACGGAGGCAGCAUUGGGGAAUAUUGCACAAUGGGCGCAAGCCUGAUACAGCCAUGCCGCGUGUAUGAAGAAGGCCUUAGGGUUGUAAAGUACUUUCAGCGGGGAGGCGUUACCCGCAGAAGAAGCACCGGCUAACUCCGUGCCAGCAGCCGCGGUAAUUC
rnacentral:rRNA from 1 species